rnacentral:ncRNA from 1 species
GUUGGUGGUGCGUGGCCGUUCUUAGUUGGUGGAGCGGUUUGUCUGGUUAAUUCCGAUAAUGAACGAGACUCUUCCUCGCUAACAAGUAACACGACCCCCGGCAAGCGUGAAGCCUACGAUAUGUCCGAGUCAUGCGAUUCAUGAUUUUUAAUGAUUUUGUAAUAAACUUCAUCUUUUAAUCAACUAAUAUCGGCUCCCCUGGUGCUCUGUUCCUAAUUGAACUUUUUGCUUAAAUUGGCUGUUUGGGAUCACAGUUUAUGUGCAGCACGUUGGAGCUGAGCUGUAACCGGUAAGUGAUCCCACU